UACGUAGGGUGCGAGCGUUAAUCGGAAUUACUGGGCGUAAAGCGUGCGCAGGCGGUUUUGUAAGCCAGAUGUGAAAUCCCCGGGCUCAACCUGGGAAUGGCAUUUGGGACUGCAAGGCUGGAGUGUGGCAGAGGGGACUAGAAUUCCUGGUGUAGCAGUGAAAUGCGUAGAUAUCAGGAGGAAUACCGAUGGCGAAGGCAGGUCCCUGGGUUAACACUGACGAUCAUGCACGAAAGCGUGGGGAGCAAACAGG
rnacentral:rRNA from 1 species